UAACGAAACCUUUCCUGCAAUACUUAAUCGUAUACAGACAACUGAAACAGAACAUUAUCUACAAUUCUGGCAUGUCGUAUUUUAUCUAGUUUGUAUUUUGGCUGUGAUCGGAGUUGCGAUAGGAAUAGUUAUAUUGAUUUACCUCGUGUGGAAUUACAUAAAAAAUUCAUUGUGAUCAAAGAAAAUCCCAGUUCGGUUUGGCUAAAAUCAGAUGAUGAAGUUGAAAAGGCGACGACGAGUUUAGUGUAUGAUGGCGCAACGUUUGGAUUUGCCGAUUUUUUAUGGUAUCUUCUAUUCAUAUCCCUGGCGAUUGCGGGUGUCAUGUGUCUUACAAUUUGCAUAUUCCUCAUUUGGGAAUUUUAUAUUCGUCGCGACUAAAAUAUGGGCAAGAUGCAUAGAUUUCUUUAAAACAAAAUUUUACUUUCACCGAGUUAGAAAAUAAAAUGCAAGUAGAAUUUAA